rnacentral:rRNA from 1 species
CCUACGGGAGGCAGCAGUGAGGGAUAUUGGUCAAUGGGGGAAACCCUGAACCAGCAACGCCGCGUGAGGGAAGACGGUUUUCGGAUUGUAAACCUCUGUCCUCUGUGAAGAUAAUGACGGUAGCAGAGGAGGAAGAUCCGGCUAACUACGUGCCAGCAGCCGCGGUAAUACGGAGGAUGCGAGCGUUAUCCGGAUAUAGUGGGUUUAAAGGGUGUGUAUGCGGUCCGGAAAGUCAGCGGUAAAAGCCCGGGGCUCAACCCCGGCGAGCCGUUGAAACUGUCGGACUAGAGACGGCGAGAGGUACGAGGAAUGCGCGGUGUAGCGGUGAAAUGCAUAGAUAUCGCGCAGAACACCGAUUGCGAAGGCAGCGUACCGGCGCCGGACUGACGCUGAGGCACGAAAGCGUGGGUAUCGAACAGGAUUAGAUACCCUGGUAGUC